UACGGAGGAUGCAAGCGUUAUCCGGAAUGAUUGGGCGUAAAGCGUCCGCAGGUGGCGAUGUAAGUCUGCUGUUAAAGAGUGAGGCUCAACCUCAUAAGAGCAGUGGAAACUACAUAGCUAGAGUGCGGUAGGGGCAGAGGGAAUUCCUGGUGUAGCGGUGAAAUGCGUAGAGAUCAAGAGGAACACCAGUGGCGAAGGCGAGUCCCUGGACAACACCUGACACUGAGGCACGAAAGCUAGGGGAGCAAACAGG
rnacentral:rRNA from 1 species